ensembl:lncRNA
CAUUGCUUACUCCAUUAUAAGUAAGAGUCAUAAAGGGGUUACAUACGCCAAUGGAUUUCUGUGACUGUGGUAUAAGGACUUUUCCGAUCCACACUCUGUACGCGGUGUUGAGUGCUUGCCAUGUCUUGUAUCAUUGUGGCACCAAGUGGCAGUUAAAGGAAUGUUUUUUUUAUAGGGGAUCACCAUGGCACAUCUUAAGAGCUGUAGUACGAGUAUUUCUUUUCUGUCAUUGAGGAGUCCAGCCCAGAGGUCAGUCAGUGAGUGUUGUUAGUGGGACCUACUCAAAUCGUUGCCUGAAUAUAUUAUUGUCUGACUCCUGCACUCACCCGAUUAUGCAGUCAAGACAUUAUCCAGUCAGUUGGAAAGUUUCAGCAGGAAUAUGUUGGUUCUUGUACUGUCUAAUAAUUACAUACUCUAAUAAUGUUUUAUCAAUUUUUAUUGUUUUAUCCAUCACUUUUCAUUCUGUUGUCUGUUUCAGUGGUUGUCUCAUUUUGUUAUUGGACUUCAGGUUUAAGCAGCCAUAUUUCUUUCCUGUGUGAGUCACUUUGUUCAGGAGGUUCCCUUGACACUGAAGCUUUUCCUGCAGUCACCCCAGCUUUCUGGACUUUCAGGUGCCCCUUCUAACAUAACAUUUUCCUACAGUCACCAGAUCUAAAGGCUUUCCUUCUAGUGUGAGAGUGUAUGAUUCUUCAGGGAGUCCAAACCGCUUUAAGAGGUCUCUGACAUCAGACAGCAUCGGCUCCUUCCAGCAUGACAAGAAUAAAUGGCUGACACUGACCACGUGGCCGACGUGAAAGAGUCCGGAGCAGUCGUGGUGAACGCGAUGCUGCCUGCAACGUCAUCCAGAGAGCCCCGGGACACCGUCCGCCGUCUCAUCAGGAGCACGCCCAGGCGUUGUCGGGGCUGCAUACAGGCAACGUUUGGGCCGCACACACUAACGAGAGAUGUGCAGAACAAGAAAAAAAUGAAGCUAGGUGUUGCUGGCUUUUUCAGAAGGGUGUGGAAGAUCUUCACCUGCUCCUCUGGUAUCUCCUCAAAAGACAACUGAGAAAGAAGAUUAUGAUCUCAACCUCAACUGCACACCCAAUUUCUCACACACACACACACACACACACACAAUCAUAAAUAUCUACACACGUACACACACAGUCUACAACAAUCACAAGAAAAUUAGAUUCUUCUGCAUUCUAGUGCAUUGUGUACUUGUGAAUUUCUACUGACAUUAUACAGAAAUGUAGGGAAAGAUAUGAACUACUGUUCUAAAGUGCUUACAAUAAAAGACAAACUAAUAAUAGUUUAAGUAAAAGCAUUAAAGUUUUUCUUGCAGAAAACCACAGGUGGCACAAAAGUGGUGUCACAAAACUUGGGACAUAUUGGAGCCUUUCUAGGGGACCAGUCAGAAUUUUUCAUGAACUUGAGAGGUAAACCUGUGUCCUACUUGUAUGCUUUGUUGACAAAAAAAAUAAUUGUAAACAUACAAAACGGUGUUUAUACAAUUAUAUUCCCAUUCCAUACAUCAGAUUCUAUUGAAUCACGUCCCUGUGUAUGACACUCUUCC